rnacentral:rRNA from 1 species
ACACGUAGGGGGCGAGCGUUAUCCGGAAUCACUGGGCGUAGAGGGCACGUAGGCGGUUAAUCGUGUCAGGUGUAAAAGAUCGGGGCUCAACCCCGUAUAGGCACAUGAAACUGAUUAACUUGAGAACAGGCGAGGCAAGUGGAAUUCCUGGUGUAGCGGUGAAAUGCGUAGAUAUCAGGAGGAACACCAGUGGCGAAGGCGACUUGCUGGACUGGUUCUGACGCUGAGGUGCGAAAGCGUGGUUAGCAAACAGGAUUAGAUACCCUGGUAGUCCACGCCGUAAACGAUGGGUACUGGGUGUAGGGGGUGUUGACACCUUCUGUGCCGCAGCGAACGCGUUAAGUACCCCGCCUGGGGAGUACGGCCGCAAGGCUGAA